rnacentral:rRNA from 1 species
AAUAAUAACAAAUUUUUAGAUUCUGUUUUAUACCUAAACUUAUUGAGGAUAAGCUCGAUAAGAAAAUAUAAAUUAAAAAGUAUUAUUGUUAAGCUAGCUACAUAGGCCUGAAAUUAGUCAUUGUAUUAGAACUUGUUAUAAAAUAGUGGGCAUAUAAAUAUACAAAAUUAAUAUACUUCCUAUAUAUAGGGAUGGCCUGAGAAACUAAAAAUCAGAUCUAUUUAUGCUAGGAUGAGUAUUAAAAUAAAAAGUUAUGUAGAUAAAAAAUAAAAGUAUCUAUAUAAAUAAUUUCAUUAACAAAAAAUAGGAAUAAGGAACUCGGCAAAUUUUAGCUCCGCCUGUUUAUCAAAAACAUGGCUCUUUGCUGAUUAAAUAUAAAGAGUCUGACCUGCCCGGUGAAAUUUUAACGGCCGCGGUACUCUGACCGUGCAAAGGUAGCAUAAUCAUUUGCCUUAUAAUUGAAGGCUUGUAUGAAUGGUUUGACGUGAGCAUUACUGUCUCUUUCCUACUUUGUAGAACUUGACCUUCAGGUGAAGAGGCCUGAAUAAAAUUGAAAGACAAGAAGACCCUGUCGAGCUUAAAAAAAAGUUAGAAGUAUUUUAUACCCUUAAAUUGGCUACUAACUAGUUUUUUUGGUUGGGGCGACCGAGGAACAAAAAGAGCUUCCUUUAUAUAAAUAAGCUAAUAGGCGCUGAUCCAGAAUAUUUGACUGUAAAAAUUAGUUACCGCAGGGAUAACAGCAUAAUCUCCCUUGAGAGACCUAAUCGAAAGGGGGGGUUGUGACCUCGAUGUUGGACUAGAAUAUCCUAAAGAUGCAGAAGUCU